rnacentral:rRNA from 1 species
CAGCCGCCGCGGGAAUACGAAGGGUGCAAGCGUUACUCGGAAUUACUGGGCGUAAAGCGUGCGUAGGUGGUGGUUUAAGUCCGUUGUGAAAGCCCUGGGCUCAACCUGGGAAUUGCAGUGGAUACUGGGUCACUAGAGUGUGGUAGAGGAUAGUGGAAUUUCCGGUGUAGCAGUGAAAUGCGUAGAGAUCGGAAGGAACAUCUGUGGCGAAGGCGACUAUCUGGGCCAACACUGACACUGAGGCACGAAAGCGUGGGGAGCAAACAGGAUUAGAUACCCGCGUAGUCCCUGUCUCUUAUAU